ensembl:lncRNA
UUUUUUUUUUUUUUUUUUUUUUUUCCAUCUCUUUUCCCUACCUGGGUAUAUAGAGCCACGAGAGUGAAAAAAGUACUAAUUUCCUAUUGGGCUUCAGAAGGCUCUUCAGAUAUUUUAUAUCUGUAAUUUGCAUCCCAUCUACAUGCCUUCAUGGUGAAAGACCACAUAUAAAUAUUAUAUUAAGCUUUAAUGCACUUGCCGAGUGAGAAGGAUGCACUGAACAGCUCUACUCUGUUGAGAAGCAUUUCUGCAGAUACAACCUGAAAGUCCGGGCUGCUUGCAUGACAACAAGAAGAGACAUCGUGAAAUUAGGAGUGGAAACGACCCGUUAAGUCGUCUGAUCUCUUGGUUACUUUGGCUGGCACCUCGCGGUAGUUACAGCAUUUCCUUUUGCAAGCCCUUUGUCUGCCAUUAAAUUCCUGCCGGUGACAGGGUGACAGCCCUUGCCUAAAGCUCUGGUUUUACAUCUGAGCUCGCAAUUAAUCACAUUUUUCUUUGACACUGGAAGUGUUUUGGUUUCAGCCCUUUACAUUGUCAGCAAAGAUUUGAAAGGACGAGGCUUCUUUGCGCUGGUUAAACUACAAAGCCAACAGCAAUGACGCGCCUUGAUAAAGAGCAUUUGACACCCAUAAUCUCGUGUUUUUUUCUGCUUGCACACAGCUCAGUGGUGCCCACGUCAGGUAUGCACUUCACCCAUCACAGCAGGGCACCCAGGGCGGUGCAGAGUUAUCCAGCAGGCUAGGACAGAUAAAGAAAAAAAACAAAACAAUCUCCCAACAUUAAUUUAGCCCACAGCAGCAGAAAAUAUGUCUUAUCAUGAGCUGUACUCCAGUGUAAUGUGGGAGCUUGGUAGCACCCACCAAAACUUUUUCCUGCCCUCACUAUAAGGUGCACCAGCACAUCUCACCUGGCAGCACUCAGGUGUGCGUCUGCCACGCCUUCAUUGAGCUGCACAGGUAUCCCUGCGAUUGCAUCACCACCUCCACAGCAACUUGGAUUUUAUACAUCAGUCUCCACGCCAGAGAUCUCCCUGAAGAACCACUGCCUGGAAAGAAAAUACUUCUCCUUCUCCCCAAGAGUUGCUUUGCUGUCAAUAAAGACAUAGUGGAAAUUUAGGGAGCCUUAACAAAGCUUCUGAUAUUAAUGCAUCAUUUCUCUACAACGGUGCUAAUUUUACUGCUUAUCUCUGUUUUACAAGCAAGAAUCCAGCUGUCACAAUUACAAGGAGAGCUGCACUGUAGCUGCUGUGGCAGCCCAGCAUGCCUGCACCCCCAAGUGGCAGUCUUGCCUGUGAUUUUUUUUUUUUUUAAAUUAUUUUUCUUGAGGGAAUAAUCCCGUAAUGCAGCCCCUUUAUUUCCCCAAUUAGGAUAAAUCUAAAGGGACUAACUACACUCGGUAGCAUGAGGCCUUUUUCCACUGAGAUCCUGUGACUAGCAGCUGAUUAAAAUGACAAAUAAAUAGCUUCUUCAAAGCCAGGCAUUGUUUAUUCAGCCAAAAGGGAUGAAACAACAAAAGGCUUUUCUGCCUGGUUUCUACCUAAAGUGCAGCGCCUUUUUGUUUUCAGGUUCUCAAUAAGUUUUAUUCAAUAAAACCUAUCUUCCCA